GCCUUCUGCUUCCUGGAUCCCAGUGAGGUCAGAAGGUGGGGUCAGGUGAUGACCAGGGAUGACGGUGUUCCAGGAAGAGUAGAGCGUGCCUGAUAAAUGCCAAGCAGACGUUGGUGCUGAGAACAGAUAUGCCAGUGAACAAAACAGAGAAGGAUCCCGCUCCCAUGGAGCUUAUGGUCCUGGUAAAUGGAAAAGGAAAGAAUCAGGACCGUCAGUCUUGUGACAACCAGUUCACAAACUUGUCCUUCAUCUCCCCAUAUACUGGCCAUUUUGCUGUUGCCUUGGAAACGACACACAUGUAUCAGAGAAGAGGAUGCAGAAAACAAGUUCAGGAGGACCGGAACACCAAAAUCACACCCUGUGCCUCUGAGGAAGGAAAACAGCUGCAGAGGGCCCCCCAGACAGACACCCCGACUCACUGAGCAAGGGACCCAGGGCUCUCUUCCUGGAGCAGCUUACACAGUGACAUGAACAACCAUAGAGGAGUCGGAUGCAAGCAGAGGACCUUCUCUGUGCAAGCCUGUUUGUUUGCACCUAAGAGGGGAAUGAGAGACUCCUGGAACGGGUCUCUUCUGCUGGAUGCCACCCAAACUCACACUUCCUCCUCUGUGGAAGAGCU